rnacentral:rRNA from 1 species
UACGGGGGGGGUAAGCGUUGUUCGGAAUUACUGGGCGUAAAGGGCUCGUAGGCGGCCAACUAAGUCAGACGUGAAAUCCCUCAGCUUAACUGGGGAACUGCGUCUGAGACUGGCGAGCUUGAGUGCAGGAGAGGAAUGCGGAAUUCCAGGUGUAGCGGUGAAAUGCGUAGAUAUCUGGAGGAACACCGGUGGCGAAGGCGGCGUUCUGGACUGCAACUGACACUGUAAAACGAAAGCCAGGGGAGCAAACGGG